rnacentral:rRNA from 1 species
GACGAACGCUGGCGGCGUGCUUAACACAUGCAAGUCGAACGGAAAGGCCCUGCUUUUGUGGGGCGCUCGAGUGGCGAACGGGUGAGUAACACGUGAGUAACCUGCCCUUGACUUUGGGAUAACUUCAGGAAACUGGGGCUAAUACCGGAUAGGAGCUCCUGCUCCAUGGUGGGGGUUGGAAAGUUUCGGCGGUUGGGGCUGGAUUCGCGGUGUAUCAGCUUGUUGGUGGGGUAGUGGCUUACCAAGGCAUCGACGGGUAGCCGGCCUGGGAGGGUGACCGGGCACCAUGGGCCUGAGAUACGGCCCAGACUCGUACGGGAGGCAGCGGUGGGGAAUCUUACAGAGCGGGCGGAAGCCAGAUGCGACGACGCCGCGUGCGGGAUACCGGCCUUCGGGUGGAAAACCGCUUUCGCCGGUGACGAAGCGUGAGUGACGGUAAUGGAUAAAGAAGCACUGGCUAACUACGUG